rnacentral:rRNA from 3 species
CUUGGCGACCAUAGCAUUGUGGACCCACCUGAUUCCAUGCCGAACUCAGAAGUGAAACACAAUAGCGCCGAUGGUAGUGUGGGG